UGUUGUUGUUGUUUCUUUAAGUUGUUAUUUGUAUUCUUACCUUGAGAAUAUCAUAAGUGCAAAAAUUUAAAAACACUGAUCAUUCGCUACAAUCUGGCAUUUUUGCUACUUAACCAUGUUUCCAAUUUCCCUCACGGUCAAAUGUCCAAUUUUAUGGCAAAAUGCAUUAUUCCAUGGUAAAAUUUUCAGUUUGCUCCUCUUUUUAAAGUAGAGAAGAAAAAAGGGGGUCAUCAUUUUUUAAAUUGCUUCAUGGCCCAAUAUUUGCCUUACAUCCACUGAGGUCACAAGAAAACAUAUAUUUUGGUUCUUAAUUUUGCACUCUCUCUAAUGUUUAAUUAAUGUGUCUAUAAAAAGAAAAAGAAAUCAUUUUAAAAAUUAGUAUUGAAGCUAGUUUAACGUGAAGUGCAAUGCUGUUUAAUUUUUUUUUCAAUGAGGAGAAUAAUAUUGUUUAUCUCUGAUUGUAAACUUUUCUAUUUAUUUUCACCAUUUCAUAAUUUGUCCGUUUUGAGCAGGACAAAUAUUUGCAGACACUCCUAACGCUGGCCGGGCCGUAUUUGGAGGAAGCUCUGAAUCGAUCUGAUAGCCCGACAAACGAAGGAGAUCUCUUUCUCCCUCUGUCUGUGAGGCUUUAAAAAAGUAGGUUUGCAAAUGUUUUUUCUGUAUUUUCUCUGUUUCAAGAUUGAAAAAAUUUUUGAGUCAUAAUCUUGCUUUCUUUUGAAUUGAAAUUUUCCACCCAUUUCCAAAUCUUCAUUUCUUUUGUUUUGUUAUUUCCAGCCCACGUCCAAAUCAAAUUUUCCCUCUCGGUGACCUUCUCUCCCCUCAGUUUGCAAUACUCUAACUGCCUCCCUGCAAUUCUUCGUAACUCUUUUGUUUUUCAUGCUAUAUAUGACUCCUCGAGGCAUUCAAACAGAAAGUAAGCUCACUCAAGUUAGAGUCAGUGAAUUAGAGAAGCACUUAAACUUAAAUCAAAAGGACGAUCAAGACUGCGUAAAUUCCUUGUGUUCUCUAGCGAAGACAAGGCAGGCACUGCCGAUAGAGCAUCAAAAACUGACAAAGAGUCAGAAUCAGAAGACGACACCAUUUCUCCAGUGGAGCCACCAAAAGUCAUACGUAAAUCAGCCCCUGCGCGUCUGUUAACAUCACGUAAAAAGCGACGAAAAAAUGCAAAAGAAACCACACAGAAAAAAUCUUUAGUUCAGAAACCUACUGUCAUUGUUAACAAGAGGAAGACGCAGCAGGUCGAAAACAAGAAAACCUGAACGUUGACAGAGCUAAGGCCGGGAUCAACAUAGACACAAAAAAUAGAAGUAAAACCCAGAAAACCGCCCAGUAAAAUGAACAGGUGAGAACUGAUUGAGUAUCAUCAACAUUUGUUAUUUCUGUCAAAAGUUUUAAUUAAUGCAUUU
rnacentral:lncRNA from 1 species